rnacentral:rRNA from 1 species
GGGCCCGCACAAGCGGAGGAACAUGUGGUUUAAUUCGAUGAUACGCGAGGAACCUUACCUGGGCUUAAAUGGGGAGUGACGUUUGCUGAAAGGUGAAUUUCUUCGGACACUCUUCAAGGUGCUGCAUGGUUGUCGUCAGCUCGUGCCGUGAGGUGUCGGGUUAAGUCCCAUAACGAGCGCAACCCUUGCUGUUAGUUGCCAGCGCGUAAAGGCGGGGACUCUAGCGGGACUGCCACCGUAAGGUGAGAGGAAGGUGGGGAUGACGUCAAAUCAGCACGGCCCUUAUGUCCAGGGCUACACACGUGUUACAAUGGCCGGUACAAAGGGCAGCUACACUGCGAAGUGAUGCAAAUCCUGAAAGCCGGUCUCAGUUCGGAUCGAAGUCUGCAACCCGACUUCGUGAAGUUGGAUUCGCUAGUAAUCGCGCAUCAGCCAUGGCGCGGUGAAUACGUUCCCGGGCCUU